rnacentral:rRNA from 1 species
GAUGAACGCUAGCUACAGGCUUAACACAUGCAAGCCGAGGGGAAACGACAUCGAAAGCUUGCUUUUGAUGGGCGUCGACCGGCGCACGGGUGAGUAACGCGUAUCCAACCUGCCCACCACUGGGGGAUAACCUGGCGAAAGUACGACUACUACCCAAUGAUAUCUCUAGAAGACAUCUGAAAGAGAUUACAGAUUUAUCGGUGAUGGAUGGGGAUGCGUCUGAUUAGCUUGUUGGCGGGGUAACGGCCCACCAAUGCUACGAUCAGUAGGGGUCGUGAGAGGAAGGUCCCCCACAUUGGAACUGAGACGCGGUCCAAACUCGUACGGGAGGCAGCAGUGAGGAAUAUUGGUCAAUGGACGGGAGUCUGAACCAGCCAAGUAGCGUGCAGGAUGACGGCCCUAUGGGUUGUAAACUGCUUUUAUAAGGGAAUAAAGUGAGUCUCGUGAGACUUUUUGCAUGUACCUUAUGAAUAAGGACCGGCUAAUUCCGUGCCAGCCGCCGCAGUAA